AUACGUAGGUGGCAAGCGUUGUCCGGAUUUACUGGGUGUAAAGGGCGUGUAGGCGGAGAUGCAAGUCAGGAGUGAAAUCUAGGGGCUCAACCCCUAAACUGCUUUUGAAACUGUAUCCCUUGAGUAUCGGAGAGGCAGGCGGAAUUCCUUGUGUAGCGGUGAAAUGCGUAGAUAUUAGAAGGAACACCAGUGGCGAAGGCGGCCUGCUGGACGACAACUGACGCUGAGGCGCGAAAGCGUGGGGAGCAAACAGGAUUAGAUUCCCUGGUAGUCCACGCUGUAAACGAUGAAUACUAGGUGUGGGGGGACUGACCCCCUCCGUGCCGCAGUUAACACAAUAAGUAUUCCGCCUGGGGAGUACGAUCGCAAGAUUGAAACUCAAAUGAAUUGACGGGG
rnacentral:rRNA from 1 species